rnacentral:rRNA from 1 species
UACGGAGGGUGCAAGCGUUAUCCGGAUUCACUGGGCUUAAAGGGUGCGUAGGCGGGCUUGUAAGUCAGUGGUGAAAGCCCGGAGCUUAACUCCGGAACUGCCAUUGAUACUGCAAGUCUUGAGUACACUUGAGGUGGGCGGAAUACAUCAUGUAGUGGUGAAAUACUUAGAUAUGAUGUAGAACACCGAUUGCGAAGGCAGCUCACUAAAUUGUAACUGACGCUGAGGCACGAAAGCGUGGGGAUCAAACAGG